rnacentral:misc_RNA from 1 species
UACGGAGGGUGCAAGCGUUAAUCGGAAUUACUGGGCGUAAAGCGUGCGCAGGCGGUUGUGUAAGACAGACGUGAAAUCCCCGGGCUCAACCUGGGAACUGCGUUUGUGACUGCACGGCUAGAGUACGGCAGAGGGGGGUGGAAUUCCACGUGUAGCAGUGAAAUGCGUAGAGAUGUGGAGGAACACCGAUGGCGAAGGCAGCCCCCUGGGCCAGUACUGACGCUCAUGCACGAAAGCGUGGGGAGCAAACAGG